rnacentral:rRNA from 1 species
GCAAGUCGAGGGGUAACAGGAAAGCUUGCUUUUGCUGACGACCGGCGCACGGGUGCGUAACGCGUAUACAAUCUGCCUUGUACUAGGGAAUAGCCUUUAGAAAUGAAGAUUAAUGCCCUAUAGUCUAUUUGAAUGGCAUCAUUUAAAUAGUAAAGGUUACGGUACAAGAUGAGUAUGCGUCCUAUUAGUUUGUUGGUAAGGUAACGGCUUACCAAGACUACGAUAGGUAGGGGCCCUGAGAGGGGGAUC